rnacentral:lncRNA from 1 species
CACACAGAAGGUUGUAUCGCCUACAACCUAUCUAUUGGUGGAAUUACUCUGGAUCGGAAGCUUUGUACUGAAUGGAGGACUGUGCCUUGUGGGUACUCUGCUCAUAAAGGACCAAGACACAGGCAACAGAAGAUGGUCAUUAAAGAGUGGAUAUGAUCCCUGAAAAACUGGAAGAGGUCUCACAUCAGGAUCAGCACCCUCAUUAGGACAGUGAUUGAUGGAAGAAGAAAUUAUGCUUCUUUUCCCACAUCUUCUGCUGACACAAGAAGGAAAUCAUACUGAGACCAGGCCAGAGAAGCCAGGAAACCAUGCUGAUCUAUCUAAAAAAUCAGGAGGUAGUUGACUCAAACUGACUGUUACAUUCGAGUUUGUUUUCCUGUUGUGGCCCUGAACUUUGUAAAGUGGUGCAACUCUUGAUUCACAGGUGUGCACAUAUAAAAUUUGAACCAGAUUGGUCCUCAGGGUUUCUGAACAAGAAUGGUAUGGAUGACCAGUGGGUGUUCAUAGCAGAAGUAGAUAGAAAUAUUUUCAUCAACUACUUUUCAUGUGCUUUCAGUUCAUCCUCACUCCUAACUAAAUGCCAAAAUGCUGCCUGUAAAAUAACGAGUGUACGUGAAAGUUCAAGACUUCAAACAGACUAAGGAAAAAAUCUUCUACUGUUGGCUGCUGGAAAUUUUUUCAGAGAGACUAAACUGUUAAUUGCUUGUUAAGUUUGUCCUGUCUUCAUUUGCACUCAUGCAUUAAAAUGAGAGAGGAAGCCAUCAGAAUAUGAUGUUCCCAAUCUGAUUCCAGAUGACUUAAUGGAUACACUGAAAACCAGUGAGAGGGGGCUCUGAGAGUAGGAGACAAUAAAUACUAUUUGUUCAUUAAAUAGCCUGGGAUCUCAUGUUGUAGCCCAUUACCUGCUGACGACUUCUAUCAGGCUCUGAGAUGGGAAGUGAUGAUGCUGUAUGCCUGUUUCCACAUUGAAUUGAGAAUCCUACCCUUACUCCUGCUUCAAACGAUGAGGGAAGCACACUGCCUGUAUACUGCUCACCCCUAUAAUCUUUUCUGAGGUGGAUCUGGAAGGUUGCAUGUAGCAUGAGUCUGCUGGGAACAACAGCAUGCAGAACACUUCAUCCCAGCUGUGCUGGUUAGAGGAGAAGAGUGGUGAAAGAUGAAAAGAAUGAGAAAAUGCUUGUGGUUUUGUUUUGUUUUGUUUUAUAAAUGUUUGUUUUUAAUUACCAGCCUACAGGAAAAACUUUAUGCAAAAUAUUUUUUUUCCUUGUUUUCUUAAACUCCCUGGUGACAUCCAUUGAUGUGGUGGGCUAAUUGCUGCAGUGUACUAAUGUAGGAUACAAGUCCACAGAAUCCAAGGUAGGUAGCAUUUUAAUAUUUCAAACACAGUCAGCUUGUCAGAGCUGUUUUCCAUCUUUUCACACCAAUACAACAGGGUAUUUUUUAUGUGACUACUGGAACUACUGGUCUCCCUACAGACUAUCUUGUAUACAGUAAUUCAGCACUGUUUUCAAAACCCAGACUGUGGAUGCAAAUGAUUGGGAUGCAUAAAUCUUCAGCGGUGAGGGAAGAAAGCAAAGCUGGUGUGCAAUAGAAGGAUGAACCACUGGUCUCCAGAUAUCUUAAUGUCUUCUCCCGCUUGCUCUUUUAAGUGACUGAUCCACUUUCACAAUCUUUUUGAGGUAUGUCUUCUCCACAGUUCUUUGUAGUUUUCUGCUAAAAGAAAAAAAAGAAAAAGGAUUCUUGGCAGGAAUCUUUUAUGAUUAAAGUGUUAAGGCACAUCGUUUGAAAUCAAGGGGGAAUCACUUUUGAUUUCCUAGUCUUUAGAGGCGUGAAAUAUGUGUUCCUAGCUCUGGGAUAGGGAUAACCAUAGCUGUGUUGAUAUGUGUUAUAUUUCUUUACUCCAAAGACUGAAGAAAAGAAGCUUCACUCCCUUUGAAGUUUAUCCUUCUGAGCUUAGUGCUGAUACAAGCAACUCAAGUGUCAGCUUCCCCCUUUGGAGAUGUCUCAUUUCUGCCUUAAAGUUUCUUUCAUUUUUUUUUCCCUUCGAAGUUGAUGAAAUUAAGAGAACACAGAGCAAGCAUGAAGUCAAUAUCAGGAAGGUUGUAUCAUCCUGAUAAUAGCCCAAGUGGAGAGGUAACAUCAGCAGCAACAGAUUUCAUCCACUUCUGAUAGAAAACACAUUCUUCCCCCAGCCUCUUCAUGGAGUGCUGCAGCAUGAAAUGGAAGGGCACUCACACAUCACUUGCAACCAAGGCACUAUUUCAGAUGCUCACGUGAAUGGAUCGCUCCCUUAAGACACUCCCUCUAUCUUCACUUAUGCUGUCAUCUUCUGCAAGUGCCUCCUUCACCAUGACUGCUGAGAAUGGAGACAUAUAACUUAGGCACUGCCGUGAGGUACAUAAAGUCAGAUUUUCCAGACACCCUACAGAGCCCCAUUAAAACCUUUCGCAAACUUCACCAUUCCACUACCUCCUUUGAGAUACACAUUUCCGAAGCUGUUAUAUAUUUGAUAUUUUCCAAAUACAUUUUAAGUGUUCAUAAUCAGCAGUUCAUUUUACAGCACCAUUCUAACUUCUUGAUUGUUCAAACUUUCUUUUCUUUAUUUAGUACACUGUAGAGAGACUUAUAAAAAAGUGAGCCUCUCCCAGUCAUUUUGAGUCAUAGUUAGUUUCAACCAUUUCUCAUUUUUAAUUGCCCUGUUAUCUCUCUCUAGUUCCAUUCCCAUUCCAAUAUAUUAGGAAGAAAAAAAAUCCAACCUUCUGUUUUCUUCUAGCCCCCUUGGCUAACAGUAACUCAUUCUGGGGUUUUAAUUGUGAUUUUAAUUAAGGCUGCCUCAACCCGAUUGGCUCAGAGCCUUUCAUCACGCAUAGCAGUUUUUAGUAUGCAGUGCAGUGCAAGCCAGUCAGCAGGGACAGCCUGUGCAUAGAGGCUGUAGGGACAGAGUGGAGCAUAUAACACGUUUUGCUUUACAAACCUGGGUAAGGAAUAAGGAGAUGAGAGGUAAUUUCUUAGCUGUCUCGCUCACAUAUGAGUUCAUUUUGUCGCCACAAUGCUGUGUCAGUUCUCUGUCCUAUCAGCUAGUUUUGUGAGGUAACAAUACUCAGCCUCCAUACACCUCAGUCUAAUCACCACUCUGUUAACAAUCUUUGCAGCGUUUCCUCAUGUAGGCACUAAACAGCACUCCCCUGCUCCAGCACCAGCAGUUUUUGUGUUUGCAGAGUUCCCGAAUGGCUUCCUUCCUUCUUGUGGAUGCCACAAACCCAAUAUCAGUUGCCUGCCCUGAGCUAACCUCCUCCCCCCCUUUCCUCUACACCUGUUGAACAUCUUCCAGGUGGCCCAGGACAAAGGUAUGUGCUCUCACCUAGGAGCAGAGAAAACCUGAGUUUGGCAGUUGUACUGUCUUAAGCAGAGCAGUCAUGUAUCAUUAAUGCUUAGCCUUUAAAAUCUAAAGGACACUUAUUACAGAUGUUUUUCAUGAUUUGCUAUUACUUCACUGUAUAUGACUCAUCUUACUGACCCUGUGCUAACAUCAAGUCCAGAUUUGUGUUAAUAGGAGUUAUGUUUAAAGGGUUGUGAGUGGGUGCUCCUGACACUGCAGUUGCUAAAAAUAGCAUUAAUUCAUUUCCAAGAGCACAGAGAUUUUAGCGUUGAUAACAUAGCCAAGAUCUAUGAUUUCGUCAUCUUCGCUGGCAAACAGUUUCACUUCCUACCUUAAACCUUGUCGGGAUGUUUAUAUAGUGUAUGCGGUGAUGUACAGAGUGGAGCUUUUACUGCAUUUAUAUAUUCCAAAAACAUUCUGAGAAAAAAAAAGAAGAAGAAAAAUAAAACAGUGACAGUGUUCAAAUAUAUACAAAUAGUUGUCAUUCCUCCAACUGUUCUGAGAGUUACUGGUGUUUAUAAAAUGCUCUGAGUUUCUCUGAUGUAUUGUGAGCUGUAAGAACAGUCACUGUGUCUAAUCACAAAUAAAUCCCAUGUCUCAUAAUUAUUUUGGCUCCAGAUUCUACAGAUUUCAUAAUGCAUUAGGAAAACAUAACCAGCUAUGUGAUUGCAUGGUAAUUAGUUUAGGAAAAGCAACAUGGACUUUGUGUAAAACAAGCUAACGUUCUUCAUUUAUUUCAGCUUCUUCAGGAAAAUCAGUUCGGGAAGAAAUUCACUCUUGACAGAUCUUUGAAGCCUGGAGUUCUUGAUAAAAGAAAAUGUGCUGUUUCCUUCAGCCACACUGUCUGGAAGCCAAAGAGGGCAAGGCAGGCCAGGCCACCUGAGCCGCUCACCCUGGAGAUGAAGGCUCUGCUUACAAGACCAGUUAAUGAAUAGAACUCAAGUCCAUUGUGUAUGUCUUAAUUAGAUUCGGAAUAUCUGAAUUUACCAUUGUCAGCAUGAGACAGCACUAAACAGCAGCUAGUGGCUCCAGCCAUUGAGGAUUAGAAGUGGAGGAUGCUGGCAAGUCCUUCAUGAGACUGCAAAAACUGCUAUGAACUGGUUGGAACACCUCUCCUAUGAAGAAAAACUGAGAAAGCUGAGACUGUUCAGCCUGGAGAAGGCUCAAGGGGAUCGCAUCAGUGUGCACAACUGCUUGAAGGGAGGAUGCAAAGAAGACAGAGCCAGGCUCUUUCCAGUGCUUCCCAGUGGCAGGACAAGAGGCAAUGGGCACAAACUGAAACACAAGGGGUUUCCUCUAAACAUCAGGAAGCACUUCUGUACUGUGCAGGUAAUGGAGCACUGGCACAGAUUGCCCAGAGAGGCUGUGGAGGCUCCUCCUUGGAGAUCUUCAAAAGCUGCCUGGAUGUGGGCCGGGACAAUCUGCUUGAGCAGGGAUUGGGCCAAAUGGACCCAGAGGUUCCCUUCAGCCUCAACCCUUCUGUGAUCUUGUGUUUACUUUCAUUAUUACUAGCUGACAAGUAGUGCUUCUAAAUGCCUUAAAAAGUUGAGGAAAUUUCACAAGAUUUUAUUUAUUUGUUUGUUUGUUUGUUUCUUUUGCUGUCUUUGCAUGGCAAAGACUUUCCUUUACUGGUAUUCUGACAAGAGAAAGUUCAGGCUCAAGCUGCUGGAUGUAUGUUUAUAUUGUCUUCUCAAUUUGUUUCCUGUGUGUAACUGUAGUGAGAGUUUUUUGAGGAUAGAGGGGUCUGAUCAUCACUUACUUUAAAUUGUAUAGUGCCAUUACUGCCCUAUAUCUGCUCCCUAGAGUCUUAGUACUAAACUGAAAUGUACUUAUUUGCAGCCAUGCUAGAUUCCAUUGUCAUAUCUUAAUGUAGGAUAAUACUGUAAUUCAUUAAUAUUAUGUUCUUUAAUGAGGCCUGUGACUCUGUGUUUUUAUAUAGGAAUUUGCACUUGUGAUUUUCUUUGCUAAUUUAAGUACAUUGUCCACCAUCAACUUAAAAUCUAGUAUCAAUUUAAAAUUAGGAAAUGAUGAGUCCUGUGAGAAACAUCCCUUGCUUGUUAUUCUCUCAGGAUUACAGUGUGUGAGAAGUGUUCCAUGCUGCUUUUUAAUUCCUGUUUGUUAUUGAUUGUUUUUAGUUUGCAGUUUUACUUUUUGGUUCUCUGAAAAGUUCAAAGCUCGUAACUGGUAACAAAUGGGGCAAAACUAUUUAAACUUUCAUGUCAGAAAUUACACAAAAAGCCAAACGCAAGUGCUCUUAAAGUUUUGUUUACUUCUCAUGCCCCAUAUUAAUUGCACAGAUUCUCCUAUUGCCUCAUGAAGAACCGGAUCCUGGUUACAGCUGGGCAUUCAUUAGCAAGCAGAUCACACACACAGCUGUACAAUAUAUACAGACCUGAACUACAGUCUCCUCAACUGGUGAACACCCACCUCUGCCACUGAGCUCUGUGGAAAAUGAAAUCUAAAUUCAAGAUCAUAGAGGAACUUGAAGAAGGCAGAGACCAGUCAGGAAAGAUAAAAGCAACUGGAUUAUCGUAUUGGCAUUUUUUGGAACAUUGAUUUUGGCUGGUUAAUUUUCAGAUAAUUAAAGAUGUAGUCAGGUCUAGGGAUUUUAACAAGGCCAAGAAUUGGCCAAUGUUAGUGCCUUUCUCACAGCAUGAGUCCUUGGGCAUACCUCCUGUUGAUACAAACAAGCAAUUGAUCCUGAGCAACCAGAAACACUUAACAACUGAUAACAGUUGCUUAUCUGGUACUAUCAUCUGAGUUUCUCAGUUUCCAUUGCAAGCAAAUUUGGAGCUUUGUGGUACUGAUAGCAUUGUAGAACCGUUCUACAGCACGCCAUCCUUGCAGUAGAUUUGUUGAAAACCAUCUACCAGCUGAUAGGAAUCAACUGUUUGUUUUGAGAUUGUUUCAGGGAAGAAGUUUUUAUUAGCAAAACUGACUACAGCCAACCUCAUUUUCUCUCUCUGGCAGCUUGUUCCUAGCCACAACUUAGAGCUUGUCUUGGAAAUAUUAAUGCAGUUGAAUUUUGCAGUCGUGGCUGCAUAGUGAAACCAAGGAAAGAUCUCACUUCUGGUGCAGUCUUGUCAAUAUCUAAUAGCUACAAUGAUCGUUUAUCAAUAAAAAGGAAAGUUUGAAAGAUGUGUGAUGUUAGAAGGUUAAUGAUGUGAGACUCAAGGAUGCAGACUGUAAUCUCGUUAGUAUGCUAUUAUGGCAAUACACAUUCAUAAUUCAGAGGUUUGAUAUACUUGGUGUUGAUUAAAAGAAUUAAUCCAGCCAGCUCACUGAGGGCAAUGUGCUAGCUGGCAGGCACUGGUAAACAACAAGGCAGAGCAGUGUAAUCACCUGUAAGGAUAAAUACAGGUGACACAUUCACAAUAGUAGAAAGUAGAUCCCAGGCAGGCAGCAAACACUGCCAUUGCCUAUUUCUGGCCUGCUUGGACAAGCUGUGGGGAGGAGGAUCCACACUAGCAUUUGGAAGGGCAAAGAAAUCAAAGGACCAGGGACUCCCCAGUGAAGGAAGAGACAUUUCAACAGCAAAAGAAAAGAAAGGUUUGACAAGCAUGGAAAGUAUUGGUGAGAGAACCUUUAAUAGGAGGAGGGAAGGAAGAGUCAAAAUAAGCUGAAAGCUACAGCGUUAAAAUAAAGCAAGGGAAACCCAAACCAGAAAGAUGUGACACUGGGAGAAAGGUCUUUUCAUAGACCAGGGUAUAGAGAUGCUUAAUAUCAGUGAAGCCAAACAUUUAGUAUGUAUCAUCACGCGCAACACUUAUGAAAAAAAAAAAAACUUAAUUAACUUUCCUGUGUUCCAUUCUGGUUCUCUGUUUCUCCUUGUAAUCAAACACGGAUUAACUAAUGAAGAAUAUAUAGCCUGCAAGAUAUUUCUUCUGCAAACAAUACAUUCCAUUUUGAUUCAUUAAUGGGUUUUGGAUGUACUGAAGUUUAUCGGCAGAUUUACUUUUGUUCCCCAACACUGGCUUGCACUGUUGCAGGUAAAUUAUAUUCUAACAACAGACUUUUUUCAAAAAGAAAACUUUCGAGUGGUGUGGCAGCUGUACAAAAGCGCUUGUAUUUUAUUGUCAAACUAGACAUGGUAAGAAUGUAACAGCAGUGAAAUAGAGGAUGUUAGCA